rnacentral:rRNA from 1 species
UACGUAGGGUGCGAGCGUUGUUCGGAGUUACUGGGCGUAAAGGGUGCGUAGGCGGCUUUUUAAGUUUGGUGUGAAAUCUCCCGGCUCAACUGGGAGGGUGCGCCGAAUACUGAGAGGCUAGAGUGUGGGAGAGGAAAGUGGAAUUCCUGGUGUAGCGGUGAAAUGCGUAGAUAUCAGGAGGAACACCGGUGGUGUAAACGGCUUUCUGGACCAUAACUGACGCUGAGGCACGAAAGCGUGGGUAGCAAACAGG